GUGUCAAAGCAGGCCUAUGCUCGAAUACAUUAGCAUGGAUAAUAGAAUAGGACGUGUGGUUCUAUUUGUUGGUUUCUAGGACCGCCGUAAUGAUUAAUAGGGACAGUCGGGGGCAUCAGUAUUCAAUUGUCAGAGGUGAAAUUCUUGGAUUUAUUGAAGACUAACUACUGCGAAAGCAUUUGCCAAGGAUGUUUUCAUUAAUCAGGAACGAAAGUUAGGGGAUCGAAGACGAUCAGAUACCGUCGUAGUCUUAACC
rnacentral:rRNA from 1 species